rnacentral:lncRNA from 1 species
GAAAAUUGUGAAAUCGGUCUUGACACUCUAAGCUCUUUAAGUUUUGAGAACCUUGGUAUAUAUAUGAAACUAUUUGUAUUACUAUAUGCAGACGAUACUGUUAUAUUUGCAGAAUCACCACAGGAAUUAAAACAAGCACUUAAUGUUUUUGAAAAUUAUUGUAACUUAUGGAAACUCAAAGUUAAUGUAUCAAAAACAAAAGUUG